AUAGCAUAUCAAUAAGCGGAGGAAAAGAAACCAACAGGGAUUGCCCCAGUAACGGCGAGUGAAGCGGCAACAGCUCAAAUUUGAAAUCUGGCCCCCGGGUCCGAGUUGUAAUUUGCAGAGGACGCUUUUGGCGAGGUGCCUUCCGAGUUCCCUGGAACGGGACGCCACAGAGGGUGAGAGCCCCGUCUGGUCGGACACCGAGCCUCUGUAAAGCUCCUUCGACGAGUCGAGUAGUUUGGGAAUGCUGCUCAAAAUGGGAGGUAUAUGUCUUCUAAAGCUAAAUAUUGGCCAGAGACCGAUAGCGCACAAGUAGAGUGAUCGAAAGAUGAAAAGCACUUUGAAAAGAGGGUUAAAAAGUACGUGAAAUUGUUGAAAGGGAAGCGCCCAUGACCAGACUUGGGCCCGGUGAAUCACCCAGCGUUCUCGCUGGUGCACUUUGCCGGGCACAGGCCAGCAUCAGUUUGGCGCGGGGGAAAAAGGCUCUGGGAAUGUGGCUCCCCCGGGAGUGUUAUAGCCCACCGCGUAAUACCCUGCGCCGGACUGAGGUACGCGCACCGCAAGGAUGCUGGCGUAAUGGUCAUCAGCGACCCGUCUUGAAACACGGACCAAGGAGUCGUCUUCGUAUGCGAGUGUUCGGGUGCCAAACCCCUACGCGUAAUGAAAGUGAACGCAGGUGAGAGCUUCGGCGCAUCAUCGACCGAUCCUGAUGUUCUCGGAUGGAUUUGAGUAAGAGCAUACGGGGCCGGACCCGAAAGAAGGUGAACUAUGCCUGUAUAGGGUGAAGCCAGAGGAAACUCUGGUGGAGGCUCGCAGCGGUUCUGACGUGCGAAUCGAUCGUCAAAUAUGGGCAUGGGGGCGAAAGACUAAUCGAACCUUCUAGUAGCUGGUUUCCGCCAAGUUCCCU
rnacentral:rRNA from 1 species